AAUAGGUAGAUAUAUUGUGAGACCCAAGCUUGUCGCACGUGAGGGCACACGGUGAGGAGGUGGAGGGGGUCCAUCCCGAAGAAGCCGGGAUCCCCUGUUUUAGGGCAUCCUCCUUCUCCCCUUUGAAACCGCUCGAGGUAGAGCCGCCGCGCCCGAGUUCUUCCUCCUCGGGCUGCCGGCCGAAAGAGAGAGAGAGAGAGCCAUCAAAAAAAAAAAAAAAAACUGAGUUUCCUCCGUUUGCCGCCGGAAAGAAGCCGUCGGAUCUUCGCCGGGGCUAAGGUUCUGCGAGGGAUUUGCGAAAUUAAUUGGAUUUGUUGUGGAUCGUGUUCGCAAGGUAAGUAAUGUAACCUCUUUUCUAGAUUUAUCAGCAAUCUAUAUCUAUUUUACGAAUUGCAUUAUUCUUGAUUACGAAAUUGAUGCAAGGUGUUAUAUGUCUAUUUUUAGAAUAUUGUAUGGUUUUGAUUGAGCAUAUUUGCUUUUGAUAUGAAAUGUAUUUGAUUGAUUCGGCACCGUAUUUUUGAUCUGGAACAUUGAAACAUAAAGCAAGAGAAGAUAAUAAUUCAAAAUAGAUUCGGAUUCGCGGUCGGGCUAUGUUGAGGACCCUGCCAAUGGGGGCUAAUACAUUGGUACCGCAAGAAGAAUAGUCGGUGAUAUGACCCUGCCACAGGGAACAUGUGGUCAUAGUCCUUGGCUGUUGAGUUGAAUCUGGUAAAUUAAAAGAGGUUAAGAUAUGAACGAUAUUUGGUUUUGACACUGUAUGUUUUUAUAACUGAAAUAUGAAAUAGAGAACUAAUUGAACUAUCGACCUGGCUAUGUUGAGGACCCCGCCAAUGGGGGCAGAUACGUUGGCAAUUGACUGUCCUGAAGGACUCACCGCAAGAAGAUUAGUCGGUGUUGAUGACCCUGCCACAGGGAACAUGUGGUCAUAGUCCAGGAUCGACAAGAUGAAUUGAAUAUGUGAAAGAAUCUUGAAACCGCGAAAAGAAUCUUGUGAAUUUAAGAAAUAUUUGACUUAUACUUUGGAACUGCAUAUCUAUUUAUUUUCCACAUAUUAUUGCUUGAUUUAUCUAGCUAGAGUGUUCAUUACUUACUGGGUUGUCUAGCUCAUUAUACCAUCUCUUGUUGUUUUACAGAUUUCGAGAACUAGUCUAUUGGGGAUUCAAAUUGGGAGAGCGACUAGAAGGAUUGUGGCACAAGUUAUCUUAGAUUAGGGUUAUUUAAGUUGAUUUGUUAUUAUGGACAUUUAUUAUGAUUGGUGGACUUUUAUUAUUUUAAGAACUAGGUUUCUGCAUGUUGGUAAAUGAUUAUUCCGCUGCAUAUUUAGACUUGUGAGACAUUAUGACUUGAGUUAGUCAAUGGAAUAAGAUUCCAAUUUAUUCUGUUAAAUUAUUUUGGAAAUUCAUAAUUGAGGUGUUUGGUUUAGAUGCCUUGCAUGCUCGUGGGGAGAGUUUCCUACGGGUGUGCGGCGGUUGGCGCGACCCCCGGCCCGCGAUCUCGGGACGGGGGCGUGACAACUUAAGUGGUAUCAGAGCAUACAUGGAUAAAAUCUAAGACAAAGAAUCUGACAUAAGAUGAGUGUAGGUGGGUAAACACUAAGGGCAUUGGACGUGAAUCUAUGUCGAUUGCAUUAUAAGCUACUUUCAAGAUUUUCUAUUAAGCCUUGUGAUAGAUUAUGUAUGAGAAGGUUACUAGGAAAUUAUGAUUGAAUUUACUUAUGAGGUUUGAUACAUUAUGGAAGGUUGGGCAGUCUAUGAAUCAAGUUAUAAUUAGUUAGAUUUGGAUCUAAAUUAAGUGCAAAAGGAUUGGCCAUGGAAUAUUAUCAUACAUUGUGAUUAUUUAUUAUUUAAGUGAACUUGUAAACUCAAAAAUUGAUAUGGAGGUAUACUAUGAUUUUGCUUAAUUUUGAAGAUAAUUUUUUUUAGAGGCAAAUUAAGAUCCAUUUAUAUAAAGUUGUUUAAGAUUUGGGGCUAUGAAACCUUUUUGCAGUGCUUGAUUAAAAUAUUCUUCGAGGAUUGAAAACUAUAUGUGGAUCAUGUAUGAAACUCCUGUGUAGAUGGAGAAUAUAUUUGGGAUAAAAUUCUAGAAUUAUUAUUUGGCUUUAUUGAGAAUUUGAAAUUUUAGAUCUUUUCAAAUUACAAUAUAGAUUGGGAUUUUGAUUGGAAGUAAUUUAGUAAAUUAUUAGAAUACUGGUUGUUUAAAUUAUUUUAAGAUGAUCAACGAUAUUAACUCUAUGAUUGGAAAAUAUUUUCUGAUGGGUUUUCUUGUUAAGGAGAAUUUCGUUGUCAAAGAAAAGAAUAUUGUUUUUGAUUUUGACUGAUAUGGAUAUUAUCAUGUUAUUAGUAGGUUCUUCUAUCUGCUAUGAAAAAAAAAAUGAGAGAGAGAAAUCUGGCAUUCUAAGUCUAGGAUUAAUAGUUCCUGCAUUGGCUAAUCUUGGAUUUGGAAUGAUUUAGUAUAGAUUGAUUUUCUCUUUGAUUUGUAGCUUAUUCUUUCGAAAGAAAUCAGGGAUAAAUAUCAAUCUCGAAUAAUUGAUUUUAUUGGAGAUUAUAAAGUAUUCAUCUCGAUGAAAUUAUUAAUAAUUUAAAUUAUCACCUUUGGAUUCAAAUAAUAGAUCUUGUUCAUGUUUAUCGAAAAUUAUGUAAUGUAUAUGAAACUUCAAUUCAAAGUUUGGAUUUAUAAGCUGAUCUAGGGUCUUUUGUCAAUAUUGUUGCAGUUGCUGAUAAAAUCUAGAUUCUCAUAAAAAAAAAAAUUGAAUUUUAGAGGUUUACAUGAUUAUGAUGGAAGAUUUUUAAUAAAUGCUAUAGAUCUUGAUGAAGAAAACUCUAGAAGAGAUCGCCGAGUCAAUUUUACUUGUAUCUAUUGAUUUAAGGUCUUCUAACUUGGUGGAGCAUUGAGAAUAUUUUUCUAGUUAUUUUUACUUGUAAGAGUUUGACUUGAAACCGUCCAGUUGAGUAGAUGAGAGAAUUAAGAUUUAAUUUAUUUUGAAUUAUAGUAACUAGCCUAUAUGGUGUUUUUGAACGUAUCAAUUGACUCGAGGAUUAGUCUAGAUGGAUGUACUCGGGGAAAGUUAGAGGACGAAAUCAAAAGUUCUUUUUGGGCUUUACUUGGAAAUUAAAAUUUUGAAUCUCCUUAGUUCAAAAUACAAAGUAGUAUUUUGAUUAAAAAAAAAAAAUUGGUGGUUUGAAUCAGAGUGCGCAGCGAAAGCGUAGUGGUCCGAACUAUUUUUCUAAGUUGGUCAGAAGUAUUAUCCCUUUAAUUUGGCAAGUUUUAAUAACAAAAGACUUGAUUUGAUUUUGAAUUUUUGGAUAUCGCUGCACUAUCUUAGGUUCUCUAAUUUUAUGUCAUGCUAAGGAAAUGAUUAACAUCUUGAGACUAGAAUUAAUAGAUCAUCGAUUUUGAUUUUGGAUCUGGAAUAUGUUGGUGUAGACCUCUUUCCUCCUAAAUCUGAAGCUUGUACUUCUUCAAUUAAUAUCAACCCUCUAUUUGAAAGAACUUGAGGUUGUCAACUGACUUUGAUGAAUAUUCCACUAGGGGUGGAUUAGAGUUGUUUAUGAUCUAAUCUUGUGAUAGAUCGAUUAAUCAAGAGUAGUUGAUAUUUUGACGAAGAAACUUGAUGUUCUUAUUCAAAAUUAAGACGUUGAUUCUUAUUUAUAAGAGAGAGUUACAUCAUCUACAAAAAGAACCAAAUUUGGAGGUAUUGGACCUUUUUUAUGAAAAGAUGAAGUUGUAUUGAUAAGUAGAGUUAUUGGAAGACUUAAGUUAAUCUUCUAGUAGGGAAUAAUGUUGUUGCUUCUAUAAAUAAUUUGGAGGUAGCUAUGUAAUUUUCACCCGCGGGUUUUCUAUUGUUGAUCGUGCUAGAAUUUUGGGCAUCCUAAAUUUAGCAUUAACAGAUUGAUGGUUACUUGAUUGGACUUAGACUUGGAAUACUUUGACAUGGAUCUCCUAUUUCUAAUUCUGACAUUAUUAAUCUAUCUAUUUGAAAGGGGUUGAGGUUUUUCUAAGACAAAGUUUGAUCAUUAUUUCAUGGAAAAAAAAAAUGAGGAGCAUUUAAUGCUAAAGCUUUCUCCUACUUACAUUUAACCGAUUAAAUUUCUAUAUAGAAUUAAUCAAGAGCAAUUAAUUUCUUUGGAAAAAGAAUUAUGGCAUCUUAAUCCAAGGCUAGAAGGUUAGUCUUAUUUUGAAAGAGAUCAAGAACUUGCUAUGAAUCAUAUAUGGAAAGGAUUAAGUUUUGAGAUGCCAUGAUUUUGCCAAAAUUUUGUGAGCUUGCAUUUCGAGAUGGGAAUUGUUUAGGAGCUCGGGAAUGAUAUGAUGUUUCCAUAUUUUCAUAAUUUGAAACCUUAAGUGAGUUAAUUUCGAGGACGAAAUUAUUUUAAGGGAGGAAAAAUGUGAGACCCAAGCUUGUCGCACGUGAGGGCACACGGUGAGGAGGUGGAGGGGGUCCAUCCCGAAGAAGCCGGGAUCCCCUGUUUUAGGGCAUCCUCCUUCUCCCCUUUGAAACCGCUCGAGGUAGAGCCGCCGCGCCCGAGUUCUUCCUCCUCGGGCUGCCGGCCGAAAGAGAGAGAGAGAGAGAGAGCCAUCAAAAAAAAAAACUGAGUUUCCUCCGUUUGCCGCCGGAAAGAAGCCGUCGGAUCUUCGCCGGGGCUAAGGUUCUGCGAGGGAUUUGCGAAAUUAAUUGGAUUUGUUGUGGAUCGUGUUCGCAAGGUAAGUAAUGUAACCUCUUUUCUAGAUUUAUCAGCAAUCUAUAUCUAUUUUACGAAUUGCAUUAUUCUUGAUUACGAAAUUGAUGCAAGGUGUUAUAUGUCUAUUUUUAGAAUAUUGUAUGGUUUUGAUUGAGCAUAUUUGCUUUUGAUAUGAAAUGUAUUUGAUUGAUUCGGCACCGUAUUUUUGAUCUGGAACAUUGAAACAUAAAGCAAGAGAAGAUAAUAAUUCAAAAUAGAUUCGGAUUCGCGGUC